UACGUAGGGUGCGAGCGUUGUCCGGAAUUAUUGGGCGUAAAGAGCUCGUAGGCGGCUUGUCGCGUCUGCUGUGAAAACCCGAGGCUCAACCUCGGGCCUGCAGUGGGUACGGGCAGACUAGAGUGCGGUAGGGGAGAUUGGAAUUCCUGGUGUAGCGGUGGAAUGCGCAGAUAUCAGGAGGAACACCAGUGGCGAAGGCGGUUCUCUGGGACGGUACUGACGCUGAGACGCGAAAGCGUGGGGAGCGAACAGG
rnacentral:rRNA from 1 species